rnacentral:rRNA from 1 species
AGACGAGGAUAACAGUUGGAAACGACUGCUAAGACUGGAUAGGAGACAAGAAGGCAUCUUCUUGUUUUUAAAAGACCUAGCAAUAGGUAUGCUUAGGGAGGAGCUUGCGUCACAUUAGUUAGUUGGUGGGGUAAAGGCCUACCAAGACUAUGAUGUGUAGCCGGGCUGAGAGGUUGAACGGCCACAUUGGGACUGAGACACGGCCCAAACUCCUACGGGAGGCAGCAGUAGGGAAUUUUCGGCAAUGGAGGAAACUCUGACCGAGCAACGCCGCGUGAACGAUGAAGUAUUUCGGUACGUAAAGUUCUUUUAUUAGGGAAGAAUAAAUGAUGGAAAAAUCAUUCUGACGGUACCUAAUGAAUAAGCCCCGGCUAACUAUGUGCCAGCAGCCGCGGUAAUACAUAGGGGGCAAGCGUUAUCCGGAAUUAUUGGGCGUAAAGGGUGCGUAGGCGGUUAAAUAAGUUUAUGGUCUAAGUGCAAUGCUCAACAUUGUGAUGCUAUAAAAACUGUUUAGCUAGAGUAAGAUAGAGGCAAGUGGAAUUCCAUGUGUAGUGGUAAAAUGCGUAAAUAUAUGGAGGAACACCAGUAGCGAAGGCGGCUUGCUGGGUCUUUACUGACGCUGAGGCACGAAAGCGUGGGGAGCAAACAGGAUUAGAUACCCUGGUAGUCCACGCCGUAAACGAUGAGUACUAAACGUUGGGUAAAACCAGUGUUGAAGUUAACACAUUAAGUACUCCGCCUGAGUAGUACGUACGCAAGUAUGAAACUUAAAGGAAUUGACGGGACUCCGCACAAGCGGUGGAUCAUGUUGUUUAAUUCGAAGGUACCCGAAAAACCUCACCAGGUCUUGACAUGCUUCUGCAAAGCUGUAGAAACACAGUGGAGGUUAUCAGUUGCACAGGUGGUGCAUGGUUGUCGUCAGCUCGUGUCGUGAGAUGUUGGGUUAAGUCCCGCAACGAGCGCAACCCUUAUUGUUAGUUACCAGCACGUAAUGGUGGGGACUUUAGCAAGACUGCCAGUGAUAAAUUGGAGGAAGGUGGGGACGACGUCAAAUCAUCAUGCCCCUCAUGACCUGGGCUACAAACGUGAUACAAUGGCUGUUACAAAGGGUAGCUGAAGCGCAAGUUUUUGGCGAAUCUCAAAAAAACAGUCUCAGUUCGGAUUGAAGUCUGCAACUCGACUUCAUGAAGUUGGAAUCGCUAGUAAUCGCGAAUCAGCAUGUCGCGGUGAAUACGUUCUCGGGGUUUGUACACACCGCCCGUCAAACCACGAAAGUUGGUAAUACCCAAAGCCGGUGGCCUAACUUCGCAAGAAGAGGGAACCGUCUAAGGUAGGGUCGAUGAUUGGGGUUAAGUCGUAACAAGGUAUCCCUACCGGAAGGUGGGGAUGGAUCACCUCCUUUCU